AGUGAAAGGAGGAAGGAACGAGUUUCAGGUGUCGUCUGCCCACUCUGACCGGGGAGGCGAGGAGAAGAAUGGCAGCCGCAGAAGCCCGUCUCCCUAAACUAUCACGACGAGAAAAGUCUGUGCAUUCAUGGGUAAGAUACAGAGAAAAGAGAAUCUAACUGCAAUUGCUCUAUAAAUCUACAAAAUCUAUUAACUUGAUAAUACCAAGCUACAUCUAUGGAAUGGCUAUAGGACAUAUGAAGAUUUUUUUUGUUGUUUUAUUUUUCUUUUAUAGCUUAUCUAGGGAUGUUUUGGUUAUUUGGAACUGUUUUACUCAAAUAUUUGACAUCUAAAAUCUUUGGCAUUGCAGAUGAUGUAAGUACAAUUUUUGCUUGUACAUCAAUGACGACAUAAAAUGAAACAAGCUAAUAAUGAACUAUUUGAGUUAUUAAAGUGCUACUUUUUAAACCAAAUUCCAGGAUGAAGUCUGCCCACUUAUUAUUUUAUCUAUUUGCUAUAAA